rnacentral:rRNA from 1 species
UACGUAGGGGGCUAGCGUUAUCCGGAAUUACUGGGCGUAAAGCGUGCGUAGGUGGUUUGUUAAGUCUGUUGUGAAAGCCCCGGGCUCAACCUGGGAAUGGCAAUGGAUACUGGCAAGCUAGAGUGCGGUAGAGGGUAGUGGAAUUCCCGGUGUAGCAGUGAAAUGCGUAGAGAUCGGGAGGAACAUCUGUGGCAAAGGCGGCCAUCUGGACCAGCACUGACACUGAGGCACGAAAGCGUGGGGAGCAAACAGG